rnacentral:rRNA from 1 species
ACACAUGCAGUCGAGCGGCAGCACAGAGAAACUUGUUUCUCGGGUGGCGAGCGGCGGACGGGUGAGUAAUGCCUGGGAAAUUGCCCUGAUGUGGGGGAUAACCAUUGGAAACGAUGGCUAAUACCACAUAAUAGCUUCGGCUCAAAGAGGGGGACCUUCGGGCCUCUCGCGUCAGGAUAUGCCCAGGUGGGAUUAGCUAGUUGGUGAGGUAAUGGCUCACCAAGGCGACGAUCCCUAGCUGGUCUGAGAGGAUGAUCAGCCACACUGGAACUGAGACACGGUCCAGACUCCUACGGGAGGCAGCAGUGGGGAAUAUUGCACAAUGGGCGCAAGCCUGAUGCAGCCAUGCCGCGUGUGUGAAGAAGGCCUUCGGGUUGUAAAGCACUUUCAGUCGUGAGGAAGGUGGUGUUGUUAAUAGCAACAUCAUUUGACGUUAGCGACAGAAGAAGCACCGGCUAACUCCGUGCCAGCAGCCGCGGUAAUACGGAGGGUGCGAGCGUUAAUCGGAAUUACUGGGCGUAAAGCGCAUGCAGGUGGUUUGUUAAGUCAGAUGUGAAAGCCCGGGGCUCAACCUCGGAAUAGCAUUUGAAACUGGCAAGCUAGAGUACUGUAGAGGGGGGUAGAAUUUCAUGUGUAGCGGUGAAAUGCGUAGAGAUCUGAAGGAAUACCGGUGGCGAAUGCGGCCCCCUGGACAGAUACUGACACUCAGA